rnacentral:tRNA from 1 species
GGUAAAAUGGCUGAGGAUAGGUAAUAAACUGUAAAUUUAUUUAGGAAAUUUAAUUUUCUUUUACCA